UGGUGAUCCUAACUGACCUAAGACGGGGAAUGUUUACUAGGGUUAAAUGUCAGGAACCACAUACAUUUAAUUUCCUCUCUACUAACAUCAAAAUGGGUUCAAUGGCUACUGAACAACCAGAAUCUGUCAACAGCUUUGCAUUGUCACCAAAAGUUGGUUCCCCAUGCUCACAUUCACACAACUCACCUUCAAGCACCCUUUGGAUGAAGCCCUGACAGACAAAUGGAGGACAAACAAAGAAAAGGGGGCUGUUAGAAAACGUGAGAAGUGUGAGUUUUGAACCACAGAUGUUGAUAAGACUGAAGGAAAAACAUUAUUCAUCUAAUCUUUGUCUCCGAUGAGGGAGUGGUUGAUUGGGCAGAUAAACCAUGUCGCUGAAGUAAACUAGGUGCAUUUAGAAUGAAGAAAUGUGUUAAUUGACCAUGUAAAAUAAAUUACUAUUGGAAGAAGACCAAUAGAAAGAAAUUAAGCAUAAUUGUGCAAUGGAAUAGAUUACAGAAAUACAAACAGGCUACUAAUAGAGAGAGAGAGAAAGAAAACAUGUACCACAAGAUGAAUAGCAAAUUAAAUCAAUAAAGGGCGCCUGAUAAAAGAAAACAUGGGUGACCUUGGAAGUUAGUUGGCAUCAAAUAUUUACCAAAAACUCAUGCAACUUUCACUGACUCAGGCAAAGGCCAAGGACUCAUAACAAGGAGAAAGGGAGGAGCGACCAUGCUUUAUUAAGCACAUGGGCAAGCUCAGAAAGCCACUCAUUUUCAGAGUUGAAAGAAAGAGAAACACCCGUGGAAAAAUAACUGCUUUCUAAAGUUGUUUUGUUGCUGUCCAGCGAAAAGUAAUUUUUCAGUUACUUUUUAUUUGUUCAAUAGAAGUGUCGCUAUGGCAAGUUUCGUAGACGUGAAGAAUGUUGAGCCAACCCACUUUGAAGAACAACACUACGACGAAUAUGAAUACUACAACCUUUCAGAAAAAUACACAAGGCAAAUCGGACGGCUAACACUGGCAACCGACCAUGGCCGCCUUGGUGACAAAACAAGAUGGGCAAACAAACGGUGAACUCCAAUGUAGAGAGGGGUGAAUAUGAGGACGGGUCACAUGCUGCCAAUGAGUUUGACUGUGGUGUCAGUGAAGGGGGAUUUCAGUCCUCUCCUUCAUAGAGAUGGUGGUAUGGUCGAUGGGAGUGGCCCCCAUAUUGGUUGUUCACCUCAGUCAUGGGUAGACCUCCACUGAAGGUGAUGUAGACCACCUGUGCAAGCGGUAUUCUGGACGACCUUCCCACACAAGUGGGAGUAAUGGGGGUGGUUGCAGGCUGCAUCGUGUUUCAGUAUCAAUGUGGUUUUGUUUUUAAGUCUUAAUUGAUGAUACUUGUCACUUAAUGUUUUUAUAAAGCAAAGAGGUUCUUAAAAUGUAUUUAUUUUAGAAAGUGUAUUAAAAAUAAAUGCUUUCAUAAAAUGUA